rnacentral:rRNA from 1 species
UGAGCAAUCUGCCCUUCUCAUCGGAAUAAGCGUUGGAAACGACGUCUAAUGCCGAAUACGACCUCCUUUCGCAUGAUCGGAGGUGGAAAGCUCCGGCGGAGAAGGAUGGGCUCGCGGCCUAUCAGCUAGUUGGUGUGGGUAACGGCCCACCAAGGCGACGACGGGUAGCCGACCUGAGAGGGUGACCGGCCACACUGGGACUGAGACACGGCCCAGACUCCUACGGGUGCAGCAGG